rnacentral:rRNA from 1 species
UGGGGAAUCUUGGACAAUGGGGGCAACCCUGAUCCAGCCAUGCCGCGUGAGUGAUGAAGGCCUUAGGGUCGUAAAGCUCUUUCGCCUGUGAAGAUAAUGACGGUAGCAGGUAAAGAAACCCCGGCUAACUCCGUGCCAGCAGCCGCGGUAAUACGGAGGGGGUUAGCGUUGUUCGGAAUUACUGGGCGUAAAGCGCACGUAGGCGGACCAGAAAGUUGGGGGUGAAAUCCCGGGGGCUCAACCCCGGAACUGCCUCCAAAACUAUUGGUCUAGAGUUCGAGAGAGGUGAGUGGAAUUCCAAGUGUAGAGGUGAAAUUCGUAGAUAUUUGGAGGAACACCAGUGGCGAAGGCGGCUCACUGGCUCGAUACUGACGCUGAGGUGCGAAAGUGUGGGGAGCAAACAGGAUUAGAUACCCUGGGUAGUCCACGCCGUAAAACGAUGAGUGCUAGAUGUUGGGA